rnacentral:rRNA from 1 species
UGGGGAAUAUUGCACAAUGGGGGGAACCCGUGAUGCAGCGACGCCGCGUGAGUGAAGAAGUAUUUCGGUAUGUAAAGCUCUAUCAGCAGGGAAGAAAUGACGGUACCUGACUAAGAAGCCCCGGCUAACUACGUGCC